rnacentral:rRNA from 1 species
CCUACGGGGUGCAGCAGUGAGGAAUAUUGGUCAAUGGGCUUACGCCUGAACCAGCCAAGUCGCGUGAGGGAAGACUGCCCUAUGGGUUGUAAACCUCUUUUGUCAGGGAGCAAUUGGCGCUACGUGUAGCGUUAUCGAGAGUACCUGAAGAAAAAGCAUCGGCUACAUCCGUGCCAGCAGCCGCGGUAAUACGGAGGAUGCGAGCGUUAUCCGGAUUUAUUGGGUUUAAAGGGUGCGUAGGCGUAAUGCCAAGUCAGCGGUAAAAGCGCGGGGCUCAACCUCGCUCCGCCGUUGAAACUGGCGUGCGUGAGUGGGCGAGAAGUAGGCGGAAUGCGUGGUGUAGCGGUGAAAUGCAUAGAUAUCACGCAGAACUCCGAUGGCGAAGGCAGCAUACCGGCGCCCAACUGACGCUGAAGCACGAAAGCGUGGGGAGCGAACAGGAUUAGAUACCCUAGUAGUC